rnacentral:lncRNA from 1 species
AGUCCUGCCAACAGCUGUGAGUGAGCAUGGACGCAGAUCCUCUCCCAGUGGAGCAUUUGGAUGACCACGGCUCUGGCUAACACCUCACUUACAGCCUUGGGAGAGAUUCUGAGUCAGAGGCAUCCAGCUAAAUUGACCCACAGACACGAUUUUAGGUUACAAAAAGAUGGCAGAUUGCAUCUUGGGCACUCUCUUGUAUGACUUUUUGGAGAAGCCAGUUUUCAUGUUGUGAGAGGCCUGGCAGAGGGGCCCAAAUGAGUUCGCUGGGAAGCGGAUCACAGAAACCAUGAGGUCCCGGUUUAUGACUGCAAAACAAUGGUUUAAACAGUAUUCAUUCUGGAACAUCACUCAAUUUCACUAAUACUAUUCAAAUUCUGGAUGAGAAUUCGCUUCUGCAAAUUAGAAGCAAUUCAUCUAAGAUAAUGAACACAGAAGCGAAGCAGAAGCCAUUUUCCUACAUCCUUUCGACUGUUUUAACUGCAAACAAAGAUAAAGAAAUGCAAGGUGUUAGCAGUGCUUUUUGUGGCACUUUCCAAUUUUCUGGGUGUCAAGAGGCAAUUGUGACUACAGCAUUAGCAGUGUAACUCUGGCUUCCUGAUUACUGGAUUGCAGCAAGAGGAGUAUAUUCAUAACACACAGUUGCAGCAACCAUAUUAGCUAUAACUGGCUCUUGGGUGGAUCAUUUCUGUACUCCCUAAAGUCAUUCCAGCAAGAACAGCCUAGAACUCAUAUCUUAGAUCUUCCAACUAUUUUAUAAGCAUCAAAUUCUCUUGUAUUAAAUAUCUUCCUGUUUUAAAUAAAUGUAAUUUUUGUUUCCUGGACUAAAUCCUGACUCACACGCUAUUUGAUGUAUCUGUGUGUCUGUGGAACUAAUACUAAAGUUUCAUGAAAAUCCCCUUUUUAUGUGUGAUACAUUAAUUUUUCUAUUUUACUUGUCCUAUUUACAAUUCUCUUAAGUCUAUAGUCACUCUUAAAUUUCCAUGCUAUUCUAUGUCUAUUCAUUAAAUAAAAUGCUAAUUGCAAUGUUUAAAAUCUACUUCAUGACCCACCAACAGGUUGCAAGCUUCAGUUAAAAGACACUGCUUACAGCAUGAUCUUAUUAAGAGAGCCGAAGUAUACUGCAGAAUAUCACAACUGCAUUACUUAUUUUUCUUUUAUUCCAUCCUGGUCUUCAUGAUAGACAAUCGAAGCUUUUCCAGCUAUCAUCUUAUUGGCCUCUACCUAAAUAGGAGACAGCAUUCAGGCAAGUCUCCACAUAGCUAAAAAAUGUUUUCAACAAAUAAGCAAAAAUGGAGAACAGAAAAUAAGAAGAAGAAAAUCGUACGACUGACAUUAAGGUUUGGGGGAAAACUGCUCUUGAUCUAAAAAGAAUGCAAGGUUUUUUUAUAAAACCAUUUUCUGAAAGCUUUCAUUGACCAGACUUGAUUUUGUUAUUAAAACAUACCUCCAGAAACCA